ACUCCUACGGGAGGCAGCAGUGAGGAAUAUUGGUCAAUGGUCGCAAGACUGAACCAGCCAUGCCGCGUGCAGGAAGACGGUCCUAUGGAUUGUAAACUGCUUUUAUACAGGAAGAAACCCUCCCACGUGUGGGAGCUUGACGGUACUGUAGGAAUAAGGAUCGGCUAACUCCGUGCCAGCAGCCGCGGUAAUAC
rnacentral:rRNA from 1 species